UCAGUCUUUCUAAACCAAAGACUUAUUUAGAAUCACACUUUAAAACAAAUUUUUCUUUUAGAAAAUACUUUUGUCUGAAAGGCACAUUCAGUUACACUUUUUGUUUGAUUUUACAAAUAAGUUGCUUGUAUCAUGGGAUACUUUGCUGGAAAACUUUCUUAUGUGAAAACUUGCCAAGAGAAAUUCAAGAAACUUGAAAAUUCCCCCCUUGGAGAAGCUUUACGAUCAGGACAAGCACGACGAUCUUCACCACCUGGGCACUAUUAUCAAAAGUCAAAAUAUGACUCAAGUGUGAGUGGUCAAUCAUCUUUUGUGACAUCCCCAGCAGCAGACAACAUAGAAAUGCUUCCUCAUUAUGAGCCAAUUCCAUUCAGUUCUUCUAUGAAUGAAUCUGCUCCCACUGGUAUUACUGAUCAUAUUGUCCAAGGUAGAAACUUCUCUUGAAAUGAAUUUCAACAUUUUAUGGUCCAACGUAUGUAUAAACUUUAUUUGAUGACCUUUUCUGCUGGAUAUCACCUGUGUGUUCUACCAUCAAUCAUCAACCUAAACUCAGCAUGUUUGUUCAUUUGUUUCUUCAUUCAUUCAACUUUUCUUGAGGACCAGUAGGUGUCAAGGACUCUGCUAGACGUGGAAGAAGAUGAAUAACACUUGGUUCUUGUCCCUGAAAAACUUUCAGUCUGUUAGAAGAUAUAGAAAUACAAGGAUGAAUUACUAGUAUGUCCCAGUAAUUGAAAAUACUAAGGCAAGCUUAGUGGAAUAGUGAAGAAGAAAUGAUAAAUCGUGUCUCAGGAAGUAGAGCUCCAGGAAAGGUAUAAAAAGGUUACAUUUGAUAGGCUGGGUUUUAAAGGCUUUCAGCUUCCCUGUCUGUAAUACAAGAAAGAACUGUUGUCAAGUGAGAAAAUCCAUGUGAAAAUGCUUUGUGAAGUUUGUAAAUACUAGCUUUGAAGAUCACACAUG
rnacentral:lncRNA from 1 species